rnacentral:rRNA from 1 species
UACGUAGGGGGCAAGCGUUGUCCGGAAUCAUUGGGCGUAAAGAGCGUGUAGGCGGUCCGGUAAGUCAGCUGUGAAAGUCAAGGGCUCAACCCUUGAAUGCCGGUUGAUACUGUCGGGCUGGAGUCCGGAAGAGGCGAGUGGAAUUCCCGGUGUAGCGGUGAAAUGCGCAGAUAUCGGGAGGAACACCAAUGGCGAAGGCAGCUCGCUGGGACGGUACUGACGCUGAGACGCGAAAGCGUGGGGAGCAAACAGG